rnacentral:rRNA from 1 species
GGCCUUUUGAAAAUUUAUAUAAAAGGUUGGGCCUGCCCGGUGAUCUGAAAUGGUUUAACGGCUGCGAUUGAAACCGUACUAAGGUAGCAUAAUAAUUUGCCCUUUAAUUGGGGGAGAGAAUGAAUGGUUUGACGGUAAAAAAGCUGUUUUUAAAAUAAUUAAAGAAGUUAACUUUUAAGUGAAAAGGCUUAAGUUUUUAUAAAAGACGAGAAGACCCCGUCGAGCUUAAUUAGGAUAGCUUUAUUUAAAAGAUAUCUAAAAUUUUAUUGGGGCAAUAGAAAAUGAAAAGAAUCAUUUUUUUAUAGAAUAAGGAUCCAGUUUUGACUGAAAAAAGCAAAAGCUACCGCGGGGAUAACAGGGUAAUUUUUUCUGAGAGUUCAUAUUUAAGAGAAAGUUUGCUACCUCGAUGUUGGAUUAAAAUUUCUUUAUGCUUGC